rnacentral:rRNA from 1 species
UACGUAGGGGGCAAGCGUUGUCCGGAAUCAUUGGGCGUAAAGAGCGUGUAGGCGGUCCGUUAAGUCGGCUGUGAAAGUCCAAGGCUCAACCUUGGGAUGCCGGUCGAUACUGCCGGACUACGGAGUUCGGAAGAGGCGAGUGGAAUUCCCGGUGUGAGCGGUGAAAGUGACGCAGAUAUCGGGAGGAACACCCGUAGCGAAGGCGGCACUCUGGGCCGAUACUGACGCUGAGGAGCGAAAGCGUGGGGAGCGAACAGGA